rnacentral:rRNA from 1 species
UACAGAGGUCCCAAGCGUUGUUCGGAUUCACUGGGCGUAAAGGGUGCGUAGGUGGCCAGGUAAGUUUGGUGUGAAAGCUCGGAGCUUAACUCCGAAAAGUCAUUGAAUACUAUCUGGCUGGAGGGUCGGAGGGGAGACUGGAAUUCUCGGUGUAGCAGUGAAAUGCGUAGAUAUCGAGAGGAACACCAGUGGCGAAGACGAGUCUCUGGACGACUCCUGACACUGAGGCACGAAAGCUAGGGGAGCAAACAGG